CCUGUAGGUUUUAACUCCAACCCUGUUCCUGGAGAGAUACCCUCCUGUAGGUUUUUAACUCCAACCCUGUUCCUGGAGAGAUACCCUCCUGUAGGUUUUAACUCCAACCCUGUUCCUGGAGAGAUACCGUCCUGUAGGUUUUAACUCCAACCCUGUUCCUGGAGAGAUACCGUCCUGUAGGUUUUAACUCCAACCCUGUUCCUAGAGAGAUACCGUCCUGUAGGUUUUAACUCCAACCCUGUUCCUAGAGAGAUACCGUCCUGUAGGUUUUAACUCCAACCCUGUUCCUAGAGAGAUACCCUCCUGUAGGUUUUAACUCCAACCCUGUUCCUAGAGAGAUACCGUCCUGUAGGUUUUAACUCCAACCCUGUUCCUAGAGAGAUACCCUCCUGUAGGUUUUAACUCCAACCCUGUUCCUAGAGAGAAACCCUCCUGUAGGUUUUAACUCCAACCCUGUUCCUAGAGAGAUACCGUCCUGUAGGUUUUAACUCCAACCCUGUUCCUAGAGAGAUACCCUCCUGUAGGUUUUAACUCCAACCCUGUUCCUGGAGAGAAACCCUCCUGUAGGUUUUAACUCCAACCCUGUUCCUGGAGAGAAACCCUCCUGUAGGUUUUAACUCCAACCCUGUUCCUGGAGAGAAACCCUCCUGUAGGUUUUUAACUCCAACCCUGU